AGAAUCAACGCUGGCGGCGUGCCUAACACAUGCAAGUCGAACGCGAAAGUCCCGCAAGGGAUGAGUAGAGUGGCAAACGGGUGAGUAACGCGUGGGUGACCUGCCUUCGAGUGGGGGAUAACGCUCCGAAAGGGACGCUAAUACCGCAUAACAUCCCGCCUUUUAAGAGGUGGAGAUCAAAGCCUGGGACCGCAAGGCCAGGCGCCUGAAGAGGGGCCCGCGUCUGAUUAGCUAGUUGGUGGGGUAAUGGCUCACCAAGGCAACGAUCAGUA
rnacentral:rRNA from 1 species